UGUGCAGAAACUUUUGAAUCAAGUAAACGUAUAUGCUUAGUCCCUUGGGAUUUGCAGACAACGUCAAAUACAUGGAUUAGAAAAUAAUAAAUAAGAUGACAAACUGGGAGAAUUACCUAAAGAAUUGUAGCUGGCAUCUGGGAGUUGAACAGCUGUUCACCUGCUUUUUUGAUCCUGUAAAAAUGAAGAUUUUUCUUGUAGUCUGUAAUUGGCACUUUCCAAAAACAAAAUGUGGAAACUGUAUUAGAUAAUGAAUUGUAUCUUUGUUGUUUGUUUCCUGCUGGUUUUACCGUGCAUUUGUUAGGGGAUAUUGAUGUCUUGCUCAAAAUACAAGCUGUUUGACACAAAAAUAGAGCCACAUUAUUAUUUUCUUUUG
rnacentral:misc_RNA from 1 species